UACGGGGGGAGCAAGCGUUGUUCGGAUUUACUGGGCGUAAAGGGCGCGUAGGCGGCGUGACAAGUCACUUGUGAAAUCUCCGGGCUUAACUCGGAACGGUCAAGUGAUACUGUCGUGCUAGAGUACAGAAGGGGCAACUGGAAUUCUCGGGUGUAGCGGUGAAAUGCGUAGAUAUCGAGAGGAACACCUGCGGCGAAGGCGGGUUGCUGGGCUGAUACUGACGCUGAGGCGCGAAAGCUAGGGUAGCAAACGGG
rnacentral:rRNA from 1 species